CCUAACAACUAUGUUGCAGCUUCCUGUAAACCGCCUGGUCAGCGCUGUCCUCUGACAUCAGCUUCCGGCGACUCCGGCUUCCUGAACAUGGUCCUGGGGUGGAGUGCGGCGCUGAUCAGAUUCUCUCUUUCACAGUUGAAGUGUAACUAUGGUGGAAAUUACAGACCUCUCUCAUCUUUUUAAGUGGGUCAACUUGCACAAUCGGAGACGCACUUGGUUCUACAGGAAACUAAAAAACUACAGAUGCUAAACUGGUCCUUAUUAGGAGCAGCAUCGCUCAAUUCUAAAUCAUGUGGAGUGGCAAUUUUGGCGAGACGAUCUCUACCCAUUGAAGUUUUGAAAGUUGACGCAGACCCAGAAGGCAGGUAUGUCAUCAUACAGGUUAAAUUGGGUAAUAAACUGUACCAUAUAGAUAAUAUA